GACGAACGCUGGCGGCGUGCCUAAUACAUGCAAGUAGAACGCUGAGGACUGGUGCUUGCACCGGUUCAAGGAGUUGCGAACGGGUGAGUAACGCGUAGGUAACCUACCUCAUAGCGGGGGAUAACUAUUGGAAACGAUAGCUAAUACCGCAUGACAAUGGAGGACCCAUGUCUUUCAUUUAAAAGGUUAGCAACUGCAUCACUAUGAGAUGGACCUGCGUUGUAUUAGCUGGUUGGUGAGGUAACGGCUCACCAAGGCGACGAUGCGUAGCCGGCCUGAGAGGGCGGACGGCCACACUGGGACUGAGACACGGCCCAG
rnacentral:rRNA from 1 species